rnacentral:tRNA from 1 species
AACAGAGUGGCGCAGUGGAAGCGUGCUCGGCCCAUAACCCAGAGGUUGAUGGAUUGAAACCAUCCUCUUCUA